rnacentral:rRNA from 1 species
UUGGUCAAUUAGAGGAAGUAAAAGUCGUAACAAGGUUUCCGUAGGUGAACCUGCGGAAGGAUCAUUAUCGUAGGGCUUCGGUCCUGUCGAGAUAGCGUCCUUGCCUAUUUUUUGGAGUACCUUUUCGUUUCCUCGGCAGGCUUGCCUGCCACUGGGGACCCUUUAAACUCUUUGUAAAUACAGCAUCUGUCUGAAUAAACAAACAAAAAUCAAAACUUUCAACAAUGGAUCUCUUGGUUCUGGCAUCGAUGAAGAACGCAGCAAAAUGCGAUAAGUAGUGUGAAUUGCAGAAUUCAGUGAAUCAUCGAAUCUUUGAACGCACAUUGCGCCCUUUGGUAUUCCUUAGGGCAUGCCUGUUCGAGCGUCAUUUACACCCUCAAGCGCAGCUUGGUGUUGGGCGUCUGUCCUCCGGGACUCGCCUCAAAAGGAUUGGCAGCCACUUCAGCGGCUUAGAGCGCAGCAGAAUUGCGUCCUCUGGCAGUCAAGGCGGCAUCCAUAAGCUUACUUUUUAUUUUGACCUCGGAUCAGGUAGGGAUACCCGCUGAACUUAAGCAUAUCAAUAG